UGAACGAUGAAGCCCAGCUUGCUGGGUGGAUUAGUGGCGAACGGGUGAGUAACACGUGAGUAACCUGCCCUUAACUCUGGGAUAAGCCUGGGAAACUGGGUCUAAUACCGGAUAGGAGCGUCCACCGCAUGGUGGGUGUUGGAAAGAUUUAUCGGUUUUGGAUGGACUCGCGGCCUAUCAGCUUGUUGGUGAGGUAAUGGCUCACCAAGGCGACGACGGGUAGCCGGCCUGAGAGGGUGACCGGCCACACUGGGACUGAGACACGGCCCAGACUCCUACGGGAGGCAGCAGUGGGGAAUAUUGCACAAUGGGCGCAAGCCUGAUGCAGCGACGCCGCGUGAGGGAUGACGGCCUUCGGGUUGUAAACCUCUUUCAGUAGGGAAGAAGCGAAAGUGACGGUACCUGCAGAAGAAGCACCGGCUAACUACGUGC
rnacentral:rRNA from 1 species